rnacentral:rRNA from 1 species
UACGUAGGGGGCAAGCGUUGUCCGGAUUCAUUGGGCGUAAAGAGCGUGUAGGCGGCCAGGUAGGUCGGUUGGGAAAACUGGAGGCUCAACCUUCAGAGGUCGACCGAAACCAUCUGGCUAGAGUCCGGGAGAGGAGAGUGGAAUUCCUGGUGUAGCGGUGAAAUGCGCAGAUAUCAGGAAGAACACCCGUGGCGAAAGCGGCUCUCUGGAACGGUACUGACGCUGAGACGCGAAAGCGUGGGGAGUGAACAGG